rnacentral:misc_RNA from 1 species
GAAAAAUGAUAACAAUCUAAAUUCAAAUUUAAUUAGAAGUAGAGAGACAGGAAAAAAGAAAUAUAAUAUUCCAUAUCUUCAGAAGUCCUCAUUUUCUUCCUCCUUGAUAAGGAGAAAAUAAAUAUGGAAAUCCAAAAGGCGCCUGUCCACCACGCUGUACAGUAUUGCUCCUACUUCCCAUCAUUCGGUUAAUCUACCAGCAACUAUUAAAUAUGAAUGUGAUUGUAGAACUCAUCAGCAACUGUUUGAUGAUACAUAUCCUGAAGUGUCAGUCUCUCAGCAACCGUAGCCCUAUUUGGUUCUGAUAUUUGUUGGAUCCACAACUAAAAUCAGCCGAAAACACAUUGAAGAUAGAGAGGACACAGGAUCUUGUCUCCCUCGUAUCUUUAAAUAAAACACGUAGAGUUUUAUGCUCCCAGCCAACUGCACCCUGGAUUUUUAAUUGCUCCACUUUCCUGCAUUGCUUGCCGUAUAUCAUUUGCUUCGGCUGUACGACCUGAAGCAACAUAUAUAUCACGAAGGAGAAUAUAGUAUCCUCCUACAUGUGGUUUCAACUCCAACAGCUUCUUCACAACCCUCUCUGCCAUAUCGAUAUCGGCAUAGAUUCUGCAAGCUGCAAGCAAAGCUCCCCAAACAACAUCAUUACUGGGUAUUGGCAUGCUGACUAUUAAUUCAUAAGCCUCUUCUAUCCGGCCUGCCCUGCCUAACAUGUCUACUACGCAACCAUAAUGCUCAACACUUGCCUCAAUUCCGAAGUCUCUCUGCAUGCUUUGAAAUAGCCUGUACCCUUCGUCAACCAAUCCCUUGUGUGCGUAUGCUGUUAAAAGACCUAAGAAUGUCACUCUAUCGGGUGCAACCCCCGAAUUCAACAUACAGCUAAACAAUCCAAACGCAUCUUCAACAUAACCAUGGUUUGCACAUGCAGAAAUCAUUGAAUUCCAUGUAAUCAAGCUCUUCCUGUUCAUAUUAUUGAAAACAUGCCAUGCUCUAUUUAUACUACCACACUUUGCAUACAUAUCAAUCAAAGCAUUGCAAAGUGAAACCAUCCACCCAAACCCAUUCUCAUCAAUAUACGAAUGCACAUUAAUUCCUGUUUCCACAUCACCCAAAUUUGUACAUGCUGAAAUCACACUAACUAUAGUGACCUCAUCUGGCCUCACUCCAGCAUCUCUCAUCUUCCAAAACAAGUCUAAUGCCUCCCUUGAACGCUUAGCAUGUGAAUACCCAGAAACCAUAGCAGUCCAAGAAACCACAUCCUUCUCUGGCAUGUCAUCAAAAACCUGCCUAGCAAGCUCCAGUUCUGUAGCCCUCAAGUGCGCCAGAAGCAAACCAGACCAUGAUAUGACAUCUACCCCCACUGUCUCAUUAAAAACCCUCCAAGCUGCUGCUGGACUCCCCUUCACCGCAUACAAAUGAAUCAAUGCAUUUUGAACAAACAAAUGGGAGCAAAACCCAUGCUUCAACACUGUCCCAUGUAUCUCAUCAUACUCCAUGCCUAAAGGCAAGUUAUGAAUUUUAUGCAAUUUAGAUCGCGCUUUUAUCAAGAAAUUGAACGUAAAUUCAUCCGGAUCAACACAGUUUUUCCUCAUUUGAUUAAACAAAUGGACUGAAUAAGAAGGAGACAAGCUUUGAGCGUAGCCACGAAUGAUGGUAUUAUAGAAGAAAGUGUUUGGUUGGGGCAUUUGAUCAAACAAGCGGUGAGCGUAGGGUAAAUCACCCGAGGGUGAGACUGCAGUAAAGCGGAGCAUUUUACCAAGGAUAACGGAGUGGCUGUGGAGGUUAGUAAGGAUGGCGCGAGCAUGAAUUUGCUUAAGGCUGUUCAUGGACUGGCAGGUCUCUGCCAUGGAAGCUAGAGUGGCCGCGAGGGUGAGUAUUGGCUUGCCAUGUUGCUGGCCUGGGGGGUACAUUUAGGUAGCUGAUAGUAACUUAUUUUUGUAUUUGGGAGGGAGCGACCGUUGUUUGAGGCUGAAGCUGUCAAGGUUGUCGUAUGGAGUUUGAUUUUAGCGAGAGGAGAGCUUAAGGAUAUAAUUAACAUUCAAAUUACAGACCAAGAACGAUUAAAAUGGGAAAAUUUUCUCUUAUAUUAAUUGCUCUGCACUAUCAAUAAGAGCCAAUUGAUAAAUUGGUCUGUAACAUUCAGCCCUCGAAAAUGUAAAAUUGAGGAUACGAAUAGUAAACAUUUAAAAACUGCGCAAUUAAAAGUUUGAAGAACAUUGGAUACUGUCAAAGCAAAAUUAGAGGAGCUUCUUCCUCUCGAAAUAUGUCUUCAGGUGCCACAAUUGUAAACCAGCCACUGAUAAACAAACCACAAGUGAAAGGAAACUAAGGCCAGCCAUUUGGGAGUUUGUUGAUCUAUUUAGUUGUUGCAUUUCUUCCUCCCUGAAACAUCAAAACACAAAGUGAAAACUAAAAAUUGAAAAAAAAGGAAUAUUGGAUAAGAUUUUUCAAACAAAAGCUAGGCCUGUAUGGUUUAACUUUAACCCUUGUUCUGCAACAUGCAAGCAGCUAACAAAUCAAGUAAAAGGGCAAUUAGUCUACGCAGACUAGCAUCCACAUUUAAUGAUUUGUAUCAAAAUAAAGCACUUUAUGCUUUCAAUGGUUGAAACUUUCUUUUGACUCCAAAUGAUUCCUGCUCCUCUUUAUGGGGAAAACAUAAUAAUGACACCAUAAAAUAUCAACUGUAAUAUAUUGACAGAAUCAAAGUGCAUGUCAUACAAGGCCCACCUAUCCAAAAGUAAUAUGGCAUGAAUUUGCACACAAUAAUAAAAGGAGUGAGCUAAGUAUAAGUUAUUGCAUUCAUACCUCUCACGAAGAUAAAAUAUCUCAUCAUGAAUAGAUGUAACUGUGUCAUACAAUUUCUUCAACUCAAGUUCCAUAAUUUCAAUUUGUCCUUUCUUAGCAACUUUAGACCAAUCCUUAGCAGAAACGCCAGUUUUCCACUCAAAAUCAACCGUCACUGUGAUUUCUUGCCGGUGUUCAUUGGCCCAAAAACAAGUACUGUAGUCACCAGCCUCAGCGGCAGUAAAUGCAAAAUUACCCGAAUCAACAUGAUCCCCAUAAUGAUAAAUGCUCCCAUAUGGUGAUGUCACCUUAACGAUGAGCUUAUGGGAAUCAGGAACAGGAUUACCUUCGUUGAGAUUAACAACGCUAUACUUUCCAACAGUCAUUGAAUUGCUCUUUAUAUCCUCCGAUAUGCAUUUGGUUUGGCCUGAAUUCAUAUCAAACCGCAUUGAUUCCGCAAUUGUGAAAAUAAAUCCUAUAGCUAUCAUCAUUAAAAGAUUUAAUUUUGCCAUUUAUGAAUUCUAGAGAAUUGAGAUUUUAUAGAUUCAAAGUAUUGGAGAUUAUAAGGAGUGAGAUCUGUUUCUAUAUAUUGUUCGUGUCAUGUCCGAGAAGGUGAAACGAAAUGCCUGGCUUUUUGUUAACGGAGCCUAACGAUGCUACACUAACAUUUUGCUAUGGAACGUGGCAUUUUC